AUCCUCUCACGAUCUCAACUUGAGAGUUUCCAGCACUCUACCAGUCUCGACUAUGAGAAGGAGAGUUAAGCAGAUGCAUACCCAUUCCAUUUCUAGCUUGAGCAGUGGCUAGUGAGUGGAAGGCAAUCUGCUACAGGU
rfam:Ornithorhynchus anatinus chromosome 3, whole genome shotgun sequence.